rnacentral:rRNA from 1 species
GAUGAACGCUGGCGGCGUGCCUAAUACAUGCAAGUCGAGCGAAAAGAUGAGGAGCUUGCUCGUCUGACGUGAGCGGCGGACGGGUGAGUAACACGUGGAUAACCUACCUAUAAGUCUGGGAUCACUUCGGAAAACCGGCUCUAAUACCGGAGAAGAUAUUGAUCCGCAUUGUUCAAUGGUGAAAGACGGUUUUGGUGUCACUACUAGAUGGAUCCGCGCCGCUUUAGCUAGUUGGUAAGGUAACGGCUUAUCAAGGCAACGAGGCGUAGCCGACUUCAGGGGGUGAUCGCCCACACGGGAGCUGGGCCACGGUCAAGACUCCUACGGGAGGCAGCAGUCGGGAACGUUCCGCAAUAGGCGAAAGCAUGACGCAGCAGGGCCGCGUCAGAGAUGAAGGUCUUGGGAGCGUAAUACUCUGUUAUUAGGGAAGAACAGCUGUGUAAGUAACUAUGCCGGUAUUGACGGUAACUAAUAAGAAAGCACCGGCUAACUACGUG